rnacentral:lncRNA from 1 species
AUUUUUUCACUCAAUAUCCAAUUCCAAAUAAUUCUUCGGUAUUUUUUUUUUCUCAUUCGAUUUUUAAAAUUUGGUUUCAUUUUUAUUUUCUACAGAAAUGAGCAAAACUCGUUGAAGAAAGAGGUAAAUUACUACUUCCCAGAAUUUUUUUUUUUAAGAUUCCGUUUUGCCAAAAAAAAAAAACAAAAAUGAUGUUUUUGAUUCAGGUUUGGUUGAAAUUUUGAUUAUUGGAUCGAUACUUGUUUCAGAUUUAUUUCUAAUUCAGAAACGAAAUAAUGGGAAAUUUUUUUUUCUUUUACUUGAUUUUGACGUAAAUAAAACUUGAUCAAUUAGAUGAGAAUUGUUUGAGAUUGAAGAAAAUCUGGUUGAUUUUUCUAUGUCAAUUUGGCAUUCCCAUAAUUUAAAUUUAUUUGUGUUUUUUUUUCGUGAUUAAUAAUAAUUUAGUAAUUAUGGUGUAAUACUUGAAACAAUUUAGCUGAUUAUUGGCAAAUUUGUUUCCCUAUUUUGAUGAUAUCAGAAGCUUUUUGUAUAAUCCGAAACGAUGUCGAGAAAAUCACGUGGAUUUGGAGCAGAGAAAUCUCUGUCGCCUGAAGAGCAGCAAGCCAAAGUAUGCAUCAAAAUAUUGAUUAAGAUGUUG